GAUGAACGCUGGCGGCGUGCCUAAUACAUGCAAGUCGAGCGAACGGACGAGAAGCUUGCUUCUCUGAUGUUAGCGGCGGACGGGUGAGUAAAACGUGGAUAACCUACCUAUAAGACUGGGAUAACUUCGGGAAACCGGAGCUAAUACCGGAUGAUAUUUUGAACCGCAUGGUUCAAAAGUGAAAGACGGUCUCGCUGUCACUUAUAGAUGUAUCCGCGCUGCAUUAGCUAGUUGGUAAGGUAACGGCUUACCAAGGCAACGAUGCAUAGCCGACCUGAGAGGGUGAUCGGCCACACUGGAACUGAGACACGGUCCAGACUCCUACGGGAGGCAGCAGUAGGGAAUCUUCCGCAAUGGGCGAAAGCCUGACGGAGCAACGCCGCGUGAGUGAUGAAGGUCUUCGGAUCGUAAAACUCUGUUAUUAGGGAAGAACAUAUGUGUAAGUAACUGUGCACAUCUUGACGGUACCUAAUCAGAAAGCCACGGCUAACUACGUG
rnacentral:rRNA from 1 species